GUGGCUCCUGCAUGUGCGCCAGCUCCUGCAAGUACAAAGGGUGCAAAUGCACCUCCUGCAAGACGAGUGAGUGUGGGGCCAUCUCCAGGAAUCUGGGGCUGUGGCUAAGGUUGAGAGGGAACCCUGGGCUGGCCCUGAGUACAUUCUUCUGGGGAACUGGGCUUUCUUUGCCCCUGUUGGCUGUGUCAUUUUCUCUCAGAGGGCUUUGUGCCCUCUGGGUCUGGGGUCUGAGCUGGAGCCAAGCUUGCUAUUAGGGAGGUGCCUGAUCAAGUCAGCUCACCUCUCAUUCUUCCCUUUCAUCUCAGGCUGCUGUUCCUGUUGUCCCAUGGGCUGUGCCAAGUGUGCCCAGGGCUGCAUCUGCAAAGGGGCGUCUGAGAAGUGCAGCUGCUGUGCCUGAUAUGGGGACAGCUCUGCUUCCAGAUGUAAAUAGACCAACCUGCACAAACCUGGAUUUAAAAAAAAAAUAACCCUAAGCCGUUUGCUGCAUUUCUUUUUCUCUUAAAUAUGUGAGUGACAAUAAAAUGAUUUGAAUCUUAUCUGGCCUUUUUUGUGUGUCUUGGAAUAAAUGGAUUGGGGUGGGAAUUGAGCUGGGAGUUUAGAGACCAGGCUCUGGGUGGAAAUGUGAGCCACUAACAAUGCGAACACCUUCGGGAAGCCAGGUUACCUCACUGAGUCUGCACUGCUGUAAAAUGGCAUGGCACUGUGCCACAUCAAAUGGGUGGGGUGUUACAGAUGAUCGCUUCCAGUCUCAAUUGUCAAACAUGACCCAUUUUUUUAGAUUCAACGAGAAAAAAAUUCAGUGAAUACAUGAAGAAACAACAGGAAAAACGAAAGAUGUACAAACUUUGACGAUAUGAUGAUGUGGAAGGCAACCUCAGGGAAACUGGGAAAGGCAGCCAGGACCUCGGGGACCUGGCGUACCUCCAGGCGCACAGCCCUUUCUGUGAGAGCGAGCAGGCGCCAAAGGCACGGUCCCACGGUGUGCACCAAGCAGAGCUCAGGGAGUGGUGUGCCUGGCCCUCUGCCGCGCACAGCCCAGCCCGGCCCAGCCCAGGACCUCUUUUCUUGAAGAACUCCAGCCUCAUCUGACCUCCAAAUGGACCCCAACUGCCCCUGCGCAGUUUCGGGGCUUAGCGUCUUCAUUUUCGUACUACAGAAUAGAAGGUCCCUGGGGCAGGAGGCAGGUGCAUUUUGAGCUCUACCUAAAAUGGACUCCUUUGCUUUGCACUUCUCGAGCUUUCUCCCUGCCAAGCACCUUCAUCACUACUCAGAAGACCGCCAUCUUCUCACUGCCUCCCAUUUCUGAGGUGGCUCCUGCACCUGUGGCAGCUCCUGCAAAUGCAGAGGGCACAUGCACCUCCUGUAAGAAGGGCUGCUGCUCCUGCUGCUCUGUGGGCUGUGCCAACUGUGCCCAGGGCUGGGUAUGCAAAGGGGUAUCGGAGAGGUCCAGCUGCUAUGCCUGAUAUCAGAUGUAAAUAACACAACCCUUACAAACCUAGAGGUUUUUUUAAAUACAAGCAUAACCCAUUUACUGUGUCUGUUUUCUCAAGUGAAACAUGGGAAUGACAAUAAACAGUGUUGGCCUUAUUCUGCCUCAAUGGUUUUUUUGAGGGGUGUCCUGACAUAAGAGACCCCAGACCCAGUGGAGCUGGGAUCAUCCUAUAUACUGAGUGCCCUAAAGCAAGUUGGGUUACCUGUCUCUGGUCAGUUUCCUAGCUAAAAAUGUAAGAGCAUCAUGCCAGAUGAUUUGAGGGCACAGGAAUCAGUCAUGGACCAAAGCUUUGGUGAGAUAAAUAGAAUGAAUGAGUAUGAAAAAUAAAAAUGCAAAGUUCAUUUUUCAUAUUCAACAAGGAAAUCUCAAAGGGACAUUAAGAACAAAAUAAGAGAAAAAAGAACUACUAAUGCUGCACAUCUGUUGUAAGGUGUAGUGAUAUUCAGUGUCCAGGAAGGAGGAAGGCCCUGGGUGUCUUGUAAUUCAUGGUGACUGUUAGUUAUCUGGCUAUUUGGUGAGGCAGUUGCUGUUUGAGGUUCAAAGAGGCAGAGGAGUCAUGUGACCCAAGAGUAAGCAUCAUGCUGCCUUAAAGUGCUUUGUGAAUAAGGGAUUUCAGAAGGUAACCUCUGCUGUCCUUGUGCCAUGUUUUCUGUGCCCUUGUGUUUUACAUGACAUAGGGUGCUGGUUGAGGCAAUGACAUUGCAUGAGUGCAAAUUUCAGCUGUGUCAUUUAUACCUGGGUAGCACAACCUCUCUGUGGUUCAGGCUCCUACCUUGUUCCGUGCAUGAUAACAGGGUCUGGCUGGUGGGACCACAUCAGUUAAUUCAUAUAAAGAACUUAAUACAGCGUUCA
ensembl:lncRNA